rnacentral:rRNA from 1 species
GAUGAACGCUGGCGGCGUGCCUAAUACAUGCAAGUCGAGCGAACAGACGAGGAGCUUGCUCCUCUGACGUUAGCGGCGGACGGGUGAGUAACACGUGGAUAACCUACCUAUAAGACUGGGAUAACUUCGGGAAACCGGAGCUAAUACCGGAUAAUAUAUUGAACCGCAUGGUUCAAUAGUGAAAGACGGUUUUGCUGUCACUUAUAGAUGGAUCCGCGCCGCAUUAGCUAGUUGGUAAGGUAACGGCUUAGCAAGGCAACGAUGCGUAGCCGACCUGAGAGGGUGGUCGGCCACACUGGAACUGAGACACGGUCCAGACUCCUACGGGAGGCAGCAGUAGGGAAUCUUCCGCAAUGGGCGAGAGCCUGACAGAGCAACGCCGCGUGAGUGAUGAAGGUCUUCGGAUCGUAAAACUCUGUUAGUAGGGAAGAACAAAUGUGUAAGUAACUAUGCACGUCUUGACGGUACCGAAUCAAAAAGCCACGGCUAACUACGUG